CAUAUUCCACCCGAGUAUUUAGACAUCGGAAACAACGGUAGCAACACUACCAAUGUUUCAUCAUCUGCCGUACAGGCCGUACUUACCGUCGUUCAAGUUGUGACUGUGCCCUUGGACAUUGCGGCAUCUGCAAUGACGCUCUUUACCACGGCUUACAACCACGACGUGGGCGUUACGGCCAUGCUGAUGGAGGUUCCUGUGGAGGUCUCCGC
rnacentral:lncRNA from 1 species